rnacentral:rRNA from 1 species
UGGGGAAUAUUGGACAAUGGGCGCAAGCCUGAUCCAGCAAUGCCGCGUGUGUGAAGAAGGCCUUCGGGUUGUAAAGCACUUUUAUCAGGAGCGAAACGCUGUCGGCUAAUACCCGGCGGAACUGACGGUACCUGAGGAAUAAGCACCGGCUAACUUCGUGCCAGCAGCCGCGGUAAUACGAAGGGUGCAAGCGUUAAUCGGAAUUACUGGGCGUAAAGCGUGCGUAGGCGGUUUCUUAAGUCUGCUGUGAAAUCCCCGGGCUCAACCUGGGAAUGGCAGUGGAUACUGGGAGGCUAGAGUGUGUCAGAGGGUGGUGGAAUUCCCGGUGUAGCGGUGAAAUGCGUAGAGAUCGGGAGGAACAUCAGUGGCGAAGGCGGCCACCUGGGACAACACUGACGCUGAGGCACGAAAGCGUGGGGAGCAAACAGGAUUAGAUACCCUGGUAGUCCACGCCCUAAAACGAUGCGAACUGGAUGUUGGUCUCAACUCGGAGAUCAGUGUCGAAGCUAACGCGUUAAGUUCGCCGCCUGGGGAGUACGGUCGCAAGACUGAAACUCAAAGGAAUUGACGGGGUCAUAGCUGUUUCCUG